UGAAUUUAUUGGGUACUUGUG
rnacentral:piRNA from 1 species